CAUUCAAAUCAGCAUCAGCCACAAUGUAAAUAUUUAUGACCCCUCAAGUGGAACCAACUGUUUUCAUAAACACCAAAGUUAAACUCACCUAUCUGAUAUAAGAGAAUAGAAAGAGGUAAAGUAGGUUUACAACCUACUAUAUUACACUGUAGUUCCCAAGUAACUUAAUACCCUUGCAGAACAAAUCACAGGUCAGAACACUCCUUCCAGGCGGGUCAUUUGAACAGAAAGCAUUGAAAAGUGACUAACUGCUUAAAAGUUAUAACUUGAAAAAUUAUGUUUGAGCAUUGGAUAUUAGAUCAAAUGAGUUUAAACUGGACAAAUUUACAAAAGUUUUCUGGAAAUAUGAACUUUUAAACAUGUGUAUUUCAUGAUUCAGUGAAAAUGGAGGGAACUACAUGUAUAUCAUUGUAUAUAUAACCAUUUCUAACAGUUGCAAACUUUCAAGUCUUGGAGUCACAUGAGAUGUUUCCUCUCAAGGAUAUCAGAUCAGGGAAAAUGAAUAAAUGUACUGUUGAAUACAGAAUGCUUACAGAACUAUCCUGUAUCCAUCAGAGAGGUCACACCACAAGUCAAGAAGAUGUUGCAUCAUGCGAAGUGAAGGAUUAUAUACAUGUGUUCAAGAUGGAUGUUAAAUUACAUUUGUUUGAAUAAAACACUCUGACUUCAAAAUAAUUGUGAAA